GUAUCUUCGGAGAUAUACACUAGGAUUGGAACGAUACAGAGAAGAUUAGCAUGGCCCCUGCGCAAGGAUGACACACAAAAUCGUGAAGCUUUCUACAUUUUU
rnacentral:snRNA from 1 species